rfam:Trichoderma virens Gv29-8 TRIVIscaffold_88, whole genome shotgun sequence.
UCCGAUAUGGUGUAGUGGCUAACAUCGCUCGCUCUCAUUAAGAUCCGAGCAGCCCUGGGUUCGAUUCCCAGUAUCGGAG